GUCUAUAGCCAUACCCCUCUGAACAGGCCUGAUCUCGUCUGAACUCAGAAGCUAAACAGGGUUGGGCCUGGUUAGUACUUGGAUAGGAAAAAGAAGAUAGUCAAUGUAUGCC
rnacentral:rRNA from 1 species